AACGUAGGUCACAAGCGUUGUCCGGAAUUACUGGGUGUAAAGGGAGCGCAGGCGGGAAGACAAGUUGGAAGUGAAAUCCAUGGGCUCAACCCAUGAACUGCUUUCAAAACUGUUUUUCUUGAGUAGUGCAGGGGUAGGCGGAAUUCCCGGUGUAGCGGUGGAAUGCGUAGAUAUCGGGAGGAACACCAGUGGCGAAGGCGGCCUACUGGGCACCAACUGACGCUGAGGCUCGAAAGUGUGGGUAGCAAACAGG
rnacentral:rRNA from 1 species